GAUGAAGAACGUAGCGAAAUGCGAUAAGUAGUGUGAAUUGCAGAAUUCAGUGAAUCAUCGAAUCUUUGAACGCACAUUGCGCCCCUUGGUAUUCCAUGGGGCAUGCCUGUUCGAGCGUCAUUUGUACCUUCAAGCUUUGCUUGGUGUUGGGUGGUUGUCCUGAGGGACUCGCCUUAAAGUAAUUGGCAGCCAGUGUUUGGUUUUGAAGCGCAGCACAAGUCGCGAUUCAAGGCUAUACACCAGCUUCCACAAGCCUUUUUCACUUUUGACCUCGGAUCAGGUAGGGAUACCCGCUGAACUUAAGCAUAUCAAUAAGCGGAGGA
rnacentral:misc_RNA from 1 species